GACGAACGCUGGCGGCGUGCUUAACACAUGCAAGUCGAACGGACGAGUGAGAUAAGUUUACUUAACUCACAAGUUAGUGGCGGACGGGUGAGUAACACGUGGAUAAUCUACCUGCAACACCGGGAUAACGCUGUGAAAACGGUGCUAAUACCGGAUACGUUCCCUUGUGCGCAUGUAUGAGGGAAGAAAGCUCAGGCGGUUGCAGAUGAGUCCGCGGCUGAUUAGCUAGUUGGUGAGGUAAAGGCUCACCAAGGCGAUGAUCAGUAGCCGGCCUGAGAGGGUGAACGGCCACACUGGGACUGAGACACGGCCCAGACUCCUACGGGAGGCAGCAGUGGGGAAUUUUGGACAAUGGGCGAAAGCCUGAUCCAGCCAUUCCGCGUGCAGGAUGAAGGCCCUCGGGUUGUAAACUGCUUUUGUACGGAACGAAAAGGCUCUUGCUAAUACCAGGAGUCCAUGACGGUACCGUAAGAAUAAGCACCGGCUAACUACGUGCC
rnacentral:rRNA from 1 species